GCCGCGUGAGGGACGACGGCCUUCGGGUUGUAAACCUCUUUUAGUAGGGAAGAAGCCUUCGGGUGACGGUACCUGCAGAAAAAGCGCCGGCUAACUACGAGCCAGCAGCCGCGGUAAUACGUAGGGCGCAAGCGUUAUCCGGAAUUAUUGGGCGUAAAGAGCUCGUAGGCGGUUUGUCGCGUCUGCUGUGAAAACUGGAGGCUCAACCUCCAGCCUGCAGUGGGUACGGGCAGACUAGAGUGCGGUAGGGGAGAUUGGAAUUCCUGGUGUAGCGGUGGAAUGCGCAGAUAUCAGGAGGAACACCGAUGGCGAAGGCAGAUCUCUGGGCCGUAACUGACGCUGAGGAGCGAAAGAGUGGGGAGCAAACAGGCUUAGAUACCCUGGUAGUCCACUCCGUAAACGUUGGGAACUAGUUGUGGGGGCCUUUCCACGGUCUCCGUGACGCAGCUAACGCAUUAAGUUCCCCGCCUGGGGAGUACGGCCGCAAGGCUAAAACUCAAAUGAAUUGACGGGGAAA
rnacentral:rRNA from 1 species